rnacentral:rRNA from 1 species
CCUACGUGAGGCAGCAGUGAGGAAUAUUGGUCAAUGGGCGCGAGCCUGAACCAGCCAAGUCGCGUGAGGGAAGCCGGUCCUAUGGAUUGUAAACCUCUUUUGUCGGGGAGCCAAAGACGCCACGCGUGGCGUUCCGAGCGUACCCGAAGAAAAAGCAUCGGACAACUCCGUGCCAGCAGCCGCGGUAAUACGGAGGAUGCGAGCGUUAUCCGGAUUUAUUGGGUUUACAGGGUGCGCAGGAGGAAGAUCCAGUCAGCGGUAAAAUUGAGAGGCUCAACCUCUUCGAGCCGUUGAAACUGGUGUUCGUGAGUGAGUGAGAAGUAUGCGGAAUGCGUGGUGUAGCGGUGAAAUGCAUAGAUAUCACGCAGAACUCCGAUUGUGAAGGCAGCAUACCGGCGCUCAACUGACGCUCAUGCACGAAAGUGUGGGUAUCGAACAGGAUUAGAUACCCGAGUAGUC